rnacentral:tRNA from 1 species
CCCCAGAAGUCCAGUGGUUAAGACUCUGUGCUUCCACUUCAGGGGGCCUGGGUUCGAUUCCUAAUCUGGGAG